CAGAGUGAUGCUUUGUGUUUUUCCCAGUUCCAUCUCACUGAUGACCCACACUCUGCCUUUGGCCUUCUCCACCCUGCAGUACUGGGCUGCUGUGCUGCUGUCCGUCCAGUGCCAGGAAGGUGAUACUGUGAAAUGGCUAACCACACCGCAUUUCUGACUCUUAUAAUGUACUUGCAUUUCUACGUUCCUGUGAAAAAUUCCAAGUUCUUAUCUACUGGGACAGAUGGAGUCACUGCGUCGCUCCAGCUCUUUCCCUGCCAAUGCCUCAGGCCCUUUUCUCUGCUGCUGCUUUUCUGCAGACUCACAGCAUCACCCAGAACCUGCUGAGAGUGCCACCAAAAGAGGCAGCAGUGAGAACCCGCUGGUGGGAUGCUUUCAGUUACUACACUCAAAUAUCAGGUUCUUGUCUGUGUUUUCCAUAAAGAAGUGAAAAGAAUAGGAAUUGGUGCUUAUGUUUACCAGUUGAACUCAAAUCCCACUUGGCUCAGUUAUAAA